rfam:Bombyx mori DNA, contig: Bm_scaf1_contig657, strain: p50T/Dazao, build 2, whole genome shotgun sequence.
UUAAAUCAAAUUUGUAUGGAUUUGGAACGUUUGCCUACGUUUGCCGCCAGGGGCGUUGUUCCAACUGCAUACAAAUUUGCGUUA